CGGUGGAUCAUCGGAUAGGAAGUUUCAAGAGUUUGUGGACGAGUUGAUUACGAAAUCUGUUGCGAGAAAAGACAACGGAGAAUACUCAUGAUGAUGUCACGUAAUAGUCCAAAUUGUUGAUGUAACUCCGAAACCUAGACACCACUACGGUAUGUCAGUAUUCAUAUUAUCUUUUUUCUUUUUCCUUUUGGGUAAAUAACACAUCAAAUCCCAUCUCAUGCUCUAGUGAUGUCGAUCUAUCAAUUUUUACAUUCUAUUUCAUCACUUCGAGCCACAAGCACUUAGAUUUUUAAAACCAUUUUGAUGCAUUAAACUAAUGUCGCCAUAUGGCUUUAAGGUCAUUUAGUAUUGGGCAAUUAUCAAUAAUAGUACAUUUUGAGUUUUUGUCUCAAAAUAGCAUUAGAAGGAGAAAGUCACAAAAAUGACAUUCAUUUAAAGAGUAAAAUAUCUCUAAUACCAUUAGUUUAGAAUUAAAUAAACAAAAAAAAAUAAAAUAAAAAAUAAAAUAAAAAAAAUGGAAAAAAAUAAAACUUUUUUGUAUAGUUUCAGAUUAUAUGUUUUCAGAUUCGAAAUUUUUUAUAAUUUUUUUUGAAAUUAUUUUUUUCGAAUUUUAUUUUUAUUUUUUUUUCAAAUUUUCUUUUUAUAAUUCAAAAAUAAUUUUUGAAACUGUUUUUAAAAUUUAUAUUUUUAAUUUUUUAGUAUUUAUUUUUUAUUUUAUAAAAUUUUAAACCCUAAUUCCAAAACCCACUCCUUAACUCUAAACCCUAAGGUUUGGAUUAAUUAACCCAAAGGGUAUAAGUGUAUAUUUAUUUACCUCUUUAAUGAAAUAUAUUUUUGUGACUUUGAGCUUUGAUUGCUAGUUUAGGAACAAAAACUUGGUUUGAUGCUAUCCUAGUAUUUUUCUCUAUAAAAUAACUUCUUAUUCAUUAAUCUUUGUUUUUUUACUAAUCAAAAAUUAUGUCAUAAAAAAACUUUUGGAAACUUAUAAUAAAAUUUAUAGAAUCAACACAAUCUCAAUAAUCUUCUAAGAUUAUACAAUAUCAAGACUUUGAUAUUCAAACUAUUUAAAAUAAAAAGAUUAUUGCCAGCUUGUCUCAGACGGAGACGUAUGCAAAGCUUCUAUUUAAUCCGAAAAUUGAGAUAGAUGGAGAGACGAACAUAAGAAUAUAUAUAGCAGAAAAGAUUAGAUAGGAAUUAUCGAAAUUGAAGGUUUUAAAGAACAAGGAUAGGUUUCAACUUGUCUGACAAUAAACUUUACGUGUAACUAUAGUUAAUCCGAAAAUUGAAAAAAGAAAACAAAAAAGACCGAUAAAUUACUAUAGGGUUAAAAUCGUCCAAUAAAUAUCGAUAAUAACGGAGAAGUAAGUCGAUGGGUAUUGAGCUAAAUAGGGUAAAGUGCUAAUGUGUGGAGUGCAAUUUCUCAAAAUAAAAUCAGUUUCUACUUUCUAGUUUCCAUAAGGAAAAUAAAAAUCGAUGGAACCGUCUCUUGAGCAUGUGAUGCUCGUAUCUUUCCCAGGCCAAGGGCACAUAAACCCUCUACUUCGUCUCGGAAAGCUCAUAGCUUCGAAAGGCCUACUGGUCACCUUUGUCACCACAGAGCAGCCAUGGGGAGAGAAGAUGCGUCAAGCCAACAAGAUUCAAGACGGCGUGCUCAAACCGGUCGGUUUAGGUUUCCUCCGGUUCGAGUUCUUCAACGAUGGGUUAGCCGACGAUGACGAAAAAAGAACCAACUUCCAAGCCUUCCGACCACACCUUGAACUUGUCGGAAAACGGGAGAUCAAGAACCUCAUCAGGAGAUACGAGCAAGAGGAAAAGCAACCUGUGAGGUGUCUUAUAAACAACGCUUUUGUGCCGUGGGUGUGUGACGUGGCUGAUGAGCUUCAUAUCCCUUCGGCUGUUCUAUGGGUCCAGUCUUGCGCUUGUCUCACCGCUUAUUAUUAUUACCACCACCGGCUAGUUAAGUUCCCGACCAAAACUGAGCCGGAGAUUAACGUUGAAAUCCCAAGCUUACCUUUGUUGAAGCAUGGCGAGAUCCCAAGCUUCCUUCACCCUUCAUCUCCCUUUGCAGCUUAUGGAGAAGUCAUUUUAGACCAGCUCAAGCGACUUGUAAGCCACAAGCCUCUCUUUGUUUUCAUAGACACUUUUCAAGAACUCGAAAAAGAGAUCGUCGACCACAUGUCUAACCUCUGUCCUCAAGUCAAGUUUAGCCCUCUCGGUCCUCUCUUCAAGAUGGCUCAAACUAUAAGCUCUGACGUUAAGGGAGACAUCUCCGCGCCAGCGAGUGACUGCAUGGAGUGGCUCGACUCGAGAGAACCAUCCUCAGUCGUUUAUAUCUCCUUUGGCACUAUAGUCCACUUGAAGCAAGAGCAGUUCGAGGAGAUCGCUCAUGGUGUUUUGAGCUCUGGUUUGUCCUUCUUAUGGGUGGUCCGGCCUCCUAUGGAAGGUUCAAGUGUGAAACCAUAUGUAUUGCCUCGUGAGCUUGAAGAGAAAGGGAAAAUCGUUGAAUGGUGUUCACAAGAGAGAGUGUUGGCUCAUCCUGCGGUUGCUUGCUUCUUAAGUCACUGCGGAUGGAACUCGACAAUGGAGGCUUUGUCUUCGGGAGUUCCCAUGGUCUGUUUUCCGAUGUGGGGAGAUCAGGUGACUGAUGCUGUGUACUUGGUUGAUGUUUUCAAGACAGGAGUGAGACUUGGCCGCGGAGCGGCUGAGGAGAAGAUUGUUCCGAGGGAGGUUGUGUCGGAGAAGUUGCUUGAGGCCACCGUUGGGAAAAAGGCGGUGGAGAUUAGAGAAAGCGCACGGAGGUGGAAGGAAGAAGCGGAGGCAGCCGUGGCGUUCGGUGGAUCAUCGGAUAGGAAGUUUCAAGAGUUUGUGGACGAGUUGAUUACGAAAUCUGUUGCGAGAAAAGACAACGGAGAAUACUCAUGAUGAUGUCACGUAAUAGUCCAAAUUGUUGAUGUAACUCCGAAACCUAGACACCACUACGGUAUGUCAGUAUUCAUAUUAUCUUUUUUCUUUUUCCUUUUGGGUAAAUAACACAUCAAAUCCCAUCUCAUGCUCUAGUGAUGUCGAUCUAUCAAUUUUUACAUUCUAUUUCAUCACUUCGAGCCACAAGCACUUAGAUUUUUAAAACCAUUUUGAUGCAUUAAACUAAUGUCGCCAUAUGGCUUUAAGGUCAUUUAGUAUUGGGCAAUUAUCAAUAAUAGUACAUUUUGAGUUUUUGUCUCAAAAUAGCAUUAGAAGGAGAAAGUCACAAAAAUGACAUUCAUUUAAAGAGUAAAAUAUCUCUAAU
rnacentral:lncRNA from 1 species